GUCAUGUGUAGCCCUGCUUCUACUUUUUUUUUUUCAUGAGAAAACUGGAGAGCCAGUGAUUGAAUUAAUAUCCUUGGAGGGGUAUAAGUAUAAAUAUCAUCAAUUAUCAAUGAAUUACAAUUCAAGCCGCCCUUCAAGAUUCAGAUUAAUACAACGUACUCAAACCAGAAGAAGAAGAAGAAGAAGAAGUAGAAGCAGGGCUACACAUGACAUGAACACAGGAUGAGGAUUUCAGAUGGAACAGAGUAAUUAAAAAAAAAAAAAAACACUAAAUUAAGCGACUCCUCGCCGAACUUACGUCAUGUUUCGAGGAGGUACACUGCAGAUGACCAUGAGAGCGAGAGCAAUAACAAGCGCCAUCAAAAGUCCUGUGAAGUCAACGCCAUCGCCGUCGCUUAGCUCCGAGCAAACCAUUUUUCCCAUCUUCGUCGCAAGUCGCAACAAUAUAUGCUUGCUUUUCUCCUUUCCUUU
rnacentral:misc_RNA from 1 species